CACGUAGGGGGCGAGCGUUGUUCGGAAUUACUGGGCGUAAAGGGCUCGUAGGCGGCCAACUAAGUCAUACGUGAAAUCCCUCAGCUUAACUGGGGAACUGCGUGUGAUACUGGAUGGCUUGGAUUUGGGAGAGGGAUGCGGAAUUCCAGGUGUAGCGGUGAAAUGCGUAGAUAUCUGGAGGAACACCGGUGGCGAAGGCGGCAUCCUGGACCAAUAUUGACGCUGAGGAGCGAAAGCCAGGGGAGCAAACGGG
rnacentral:rRNA from 1 species